rnacentral:rRNA from 1 species
CAGUAGCCGCGGGAAUACGAAGGGGGCUAGCGUUGCUCGGAAUGACUGGGCGUAAAGGGCGCGUAGGCGGAGAUGACAGUCAGAUGUGAAAUUCCUGGGCUUAACCUGGGGGCUGCAUUUGAGACGUUAUGUCUAGAGUUCGGAAGAGGGUCGUGGAAUUCCCAGUGUAGAGGUGAAAUUCGUAGAUAUUGGGAAGAACACCGGUGGCGAAGGCGGCGACCUGGUCCGAUACUGACGCUGAGGCGCGAAAGCGUGGGGAGCAAACAGGAUUAGAUACCCCAGUAGUCCCUGUCUCUUAUAC